UGGGUAUGCUAUUGUGGGAAUUCCAACUGUAGUCUGCCAGCCCGACCAAACAUGGUCCCCUGUUCAAUUUCAAUGCGAUCCAGUAUGUCCUGUGCCACCAGCUAAAUCAGAUGCGACUGUUGUUUAUGCUGAUUUAUUUAUUGGCAGUAAUGCCACCUAUUCCUGUGCUCCUGAAACUGUUCCAGAUGGUUCUCCUGUCAUUAUCUGUGAAUCAAAUCAGCAGUGGUCUACUUCAACUUUUCAAUGUCACAAACAAUGCCCCACGGUACCAGAAUUACCCAACGCUACCGCAAACACGACAGUAAGAAUAGUAGGUAUAGUUGUAGAUUUCCACUGUAACGGGGAAUAUGUUGCCGAUGGAACGCCACAACUAACAUGUCAGUCCAAUCAGGAAUGGUCUUCUACUAACUUUCAGUGUAAAUUAGUAUGUCAGCCCCCACCAAGUUUAAAUUAUACAACGGUAUCGACUUCCAACUACAACUUUAUUGAUAGUAUAGCAACGUAUACGUGUACGUCUGAUAGACUAUUAGAUGGUAAUUCAGAUAUCACUUGUCAAAAUAAUCAAGAAUGGUCAGCAGUUG